UUAAGCGACUAAGCGUACACGGUGGAUGCCCUGGCAGUCAGAGGCGAUGAAGGGCGUGCUAAUCUGCGAUAAGCGCCGGUAAGGUGAUAUGAACCGUUAUAACCGGCGAUACCCGAAUGGGGAAACCCAGUGUGACUCGUCACACUAUCAUUAACUGAAUCCAUAGGUUAAUGAGGCGAACCGGGGGAACUGAAACAUCUAAGUACCCCGAGGAAAAGAAAUCAACCGAGAUUCCCCCAGUAGCGGCGAGCGAACGGGGAGGAGCCCAGAGCCUGAAUCAGCAUGUGUGUUAGUGGAAGCGUCUGGAAAGGCGCGCGAUACAGGGUGACAGCCCCGUACACAAAAGCGCAUGUGCUGUGAGCUCGAUGAGUAGGGCGGGACACGUGGUAUCCUGUCUGAAUAUGGGGGGACCAUCCUCCAAGGCUAAAUACUCCUGACUGACCGAUAGUGAACCAGUACCGUGAGGGAAAGGCGAAAAGAACCCCGGCGAGGGGAGUGAAAAAGAACCUGAAACCGUGUACGUACAAGCAGUGGGAGCACAGGUUUACCUGUGUGACUGCGUACCUUUUGUAUAAUGGGUCAGCGACUUAUAUUCUGUAGCAAGGUUAACCGAAUAGGGGAGCCGGAGGGAAACCGAGUCUUAAUUGGGCGUUAAGUUGCAGGGUAUAGACCCGAAACCCGGUGAUCUAGCCAUGGGCAGGUUGAAGGUUGGGUAACACUAACUGGAGGACCGAACCGACUAAUGUUGAAAAAUUAGCGGAUGACCUGUGGCUGGGGGUGAAAGGCCAAUCAAACCGGGAGAUAGCUGGUUCUCCCCGAAAGCUAUUUAGGUAGCGCCUCGUGAACUCAUCUCCGGGGGUAAGAGCACUGUUUCGGCUAGGGGGCCAUCCCGGCUUACCAACCCGAUGCAAACUGCGAAUACCGGAGAAUGUUAUCACGGGAGACACACGGCGGGUGCUAACGUCCGUCGUGAAGAGGGAAACAACCCAGACCGCCAGCUAAGGUCCCAAAGUCAUGGUUAAGUGGGAAACGAUGUGGGAAGGCCCAGACAGCCAGGAUGUUGGCUUAGAAGCAGCCAUCAUUUUAAAGAAAGCGUAAUAGCUCACUGGUCGAGUCGGCCUGCGCGGAAGAUGUAACGGGGCUAAACCAUGCACCGAAGCUGCGGCAGCGACGCUGAUGCGUUGUUGGGUAGGGGAGCGUUCUGUAAGCCUGCGAAGGUGGCCUGUGAGGGUUGCUGGAGGUAUCAGAAGUGCGAAUGCUGACAUAAGUAACGAUAAAGCGGGUGAAAAGCCCGCUCGCCGGAAGACCAAGGGUUCCUGUCCAACGUUAAUCGGGGCAGGGUGAGUCGACCCCUAAGGCGAGGCCGAAAGGCGUAGUCGAUGGGAAACGGGUUAAUAUUCCCGUACUUGGUGUUACUGCGAAGGGGGGACGGAGAAGGCUAUGUUGGCCGGGCGACGGUUGUCCCGGUUUAAGCGUGUAGGUGUGUGUUCCAGGUAAAUCCGGUUCACUUUAACACUGAGGCGUGAUGACGAGGCACUACGGUGCUGAAGCAACAAAUGCCCUGCUUCCAGGAAAAGCCUCUAAGCAUCAGGUAACAUCAAAUCGUACCCCAAACCGACACAGGUGGUCAGGUAGAGAAUACCAAGGCGCUUGAGAGAACUCGGGUGAAGGAACUAGGCAAAAUGGUGCCGUAACUUCGGGAGAAGGCACGCUGACAUGUAGGUGAAGUGAUUUACUCAUGGAGCUGAAGUCAGUCGAAGAUACCAGCUGGCUGCAACUGUUUAUUAAAAACACAGCACUGUGCAAACACGAAAGUGGACGUAUACGGUGUGACGCCUGCCCGGUGCCGGAAGGUUAAUUGAUGGGGUCAGCGCAAGCGAAGCUCCUGAUCGAAGCCCCGGUAAACGGCGGCCGUAACUAUAACGGUCCUAAGGUAGCGAAAUUCCUUGUCGGGUAAGUUCCGACCUGCACGAAUGGCGUAAUGAUGGCCAGGCUGUCUCCACCCGAGACUCAGUGAAAUUGAACUCGCUGUGAAGAUGCAGUGUACCCGCGGCAAGACGGAAAGACCCCGUGAACCUUUACUAUAGCUUGACACUGAACAUUGAGCCUUGAUGUGUAGGAUAGGUGGGAGGCUUUGAAGUGUGGACGCCAGUCUGCAUGGAGCCGACCUUGAAAUACCACCCUUUAAUGUUUGAUGUUCUAACGUGGACCCGUAAUCCGGGUUGCGGACAGUGUCUGGUGGGUAGUUUGACUGGGGCGGUCUCCUCCUAAAGAGUAACGGAGGAGCACGAAGGUUGGCUAAUCCUGGUCGGACAUCAGGAGGUUAGUGCAAUGGCAUAAGCCAGCUUGACUGCGAGCGUGACGGCGCGAGCAGGUGCGAAAGCAGGUCAUAGUGAUCCGGUGGUUCUGAAUGGAAGGGCCAUCGCUCAACGGAUAAAAGGUACUCCGGGGAUAACAGGCUGAUACCGCCCAAGAGUUCAUAUCGACGGCGGUGUUUGGCACCUCGAUGUCGGCUCAUCACAUCCUGGGGCUGAAGUAGGUCCCAAGGGUAUGGCUGUUCGCCAUUUAAAGUGGUACGCGAGCUGGGUUUUAGAACGUCGUGAGACAGUUCGGUCCCUAUCUGCCGUGGGCGCUGGAGAACUGAGGGGGGCUGCUCCUAGUACGAGAGGACCGGAGUGGACGCAUCACUGGUGUUCGGGUUGUCAUGCCAAUGGCACUGCCCGGUAGCUAAAUGCGGAAGAGAUAAGUGCUGAAAGCAUCUAAGCACGAAACUUGCCCCGAGAUGAGUUCUCCCUGAGACUUAAAGUCUCCUGAAGGAACGUUGAAGACGACGACGUUGAUAGGCCGGGUGUGUAAGCGCAGCGAUGCGUUGAGCUAACCGGUACUAAUGAACCGUGAGGCUUAACCUU
rnacentral:rRNA from 1 species